CAUCUCUCCAUGCCUAUCCAAAAUGAACACAAGAGAAGUCUGGAAUGUAAAAAGGUUCCAAGUGUUCUUUAUGCUCCCCAGUCACAUUAUUCAUGCACAACACUCCCAACUCAGAAGUGCCUGCAAGACCACAACACCAAAACACAGCGCCAGGUUCCUGUUCCCCAGUCUCUACCCAUGUCCUCUUUCUUUCAGUAUGAGUUUCAUCCUGCACGAGUGAGGUCACCUGUGCUGUGGAGGAGGCCAUGAGCUGGUGAUUGAUGAAGUACACACACUUCUGGCAUGUUCACCAUCACAUGACACUGUAGGAAUAACCCAGACCAGGAGAGGCUGGUGGGUUGAGGGAAGCACGGAUGGUGCAGUCAAUUGCACAACAGGCGAAGAUUAGGCUCUGCAUUUCCUUUGUCUCUGGGCAGGACUUCUUUUGUUCUCAAUCUGAAAGGAUUACUGCAUAAGAUGGUAUCUUUUAUAGCCAUGAACGCAGACAUGUGAACCUCUUCUGUGAUUAUCACUGAAGAAAGGUGCCUACCUCCUCUGCUUACUGUUAUAUAAUUUGCAUCCGUGAAGAAAUGAUUGAGAAUGUCACUUUCAAAAUUACUUUUUUUCCUGCAUCUUCUCCAUAACAUUUUAAAAUGCGUGAACAUCUUGAUAAUGCUUCAUCUUUUCUACGUUAAAAGUAAAGAUCCAAGGCUUUGGCUUGCUCUUUGCUGUUCCUCCUGUUUAGAUCAGCAGACCCACUGGAGUCCAGCUUCACAAAGAAGACAGAAAAAGUGCUCUUUGAGGUGCUGCUGCAUGUUCAGAGGAAGGCAACACAGCUGGUGAGGGUUCUGGAGCGCAAGGCUGGCAGAAAGCAGCUUGGGCUCAGGGGAGGCAUUACCAUUUUCUACAACUGCCUGAAAGAAGGUUGCAGAGAGGUGGGGGUCAGCGUCUUCUUCCAGCUAUUCACUGCCAAAGUCCUACACUGUUGAGAGAUUGUGGCUUUUGAGCACAUUGCUGAUCCGACGUUGUCACAAUGGCCAAAAAUGUCAAAUUCAUACUCACAAUCUUGAAAUUGACAAAACAGAAGAGGUUGUUGAUGAGAUGGACUGGCUGGUUCAAGUCAGCUUUAUUAAGGUGUAACUCAAAGUAGACAAGCCAGGUGACCUCCACAUUGUCUUUUACUGGUAAUAGUCUACAUGCACUUCAAGGAUUGUAUGGCUAAAGCAUGCUGGAGAGAGAGAUCCAUCAUGCCACAAUGUGAUCCACAUAUUCUGCAGUAAGUUAGUAUGAGUUACAUCAAGCAAAGAGAAGCUUACGCUAAACCAGGCUGACAGUUUCCACAGUUAGAAAAUCUCCUGGAAAAAGAAGUACCACAUGUUCCUGAUAUAAAGACUCUUCACCAUGAAAUGGAAAUACAUCUCUCUGCUGCUUUCCACAAUUUUAACCUGCCCCUCCUUUGGCUCACUCACUGGGCUUUGCCUGUGUUUUGAAUCCUCUGAUAAUUUUAGUUCACAGUACUGCUUGACUUGGUCAUUUUGUGAGAAAUUAUUGCAGAUGCUAACCUGUGUGAUCCCUGCAAGGGAAGGUGAGAACUGUGCAGACUAGCAGCACUUCUAUCUGGCUAAACUCUUGUCUUUAUACAUAGUAUUUUCAUAAAUCAAAAUAUGAGUGUCUUUUGGGAAUGUAACACCUUCAGAUUCAGGCAAUAUAUAAAUAAAUGUUCAUCUUCUGAGGCUGAAA